GACCUCGUAGCUUAAUUGGCAGAGCAUUGGACUAGUAUCCCAAAGGUCGCGGCUUCGAUUCCCACCGUGGUCA
rnacentral:tRNA from 1 species